UGUAGAGACGUGUGAGCGCGCGGGAGUUCACCUGCUGUAAAACAGAGAAAAAACAAACAGUUUUAAACAGUUUUAAAGUUAAAAAUAAGUGAUAACAGCUGAUUAAACAGCUUUAAUAACGUGUCUCCGAACAGACAACGCGAGGUGGGAAGACUUUAAAUCGACGAGCGACAAGUUUAUUACACUUUCAGCACUGAUCAGUUUUUUUGAUCGGAUGAUCAAUUUGGACCAAUCACUUUGAUGGCGAGCCUCCCAGACCCCUAACCUAGAGGGGUUUCUACGUUUUGUGGACGACCUUCAGACUGACCCCUGAUUCGUUGAGUUGAGCCGUGGUUGAACAGAAGCGUAAAGCUCAGUAAGAGAAGAGGAAGAGGAGGAGAAGAAGAGGAGGAAGAGGAGGAAGAGGAGAGUGGUGAGGAGAGCAGCGAGCGAUCUGAAAGCCCAGGGGCCCAAUUACCUGCAAUAUCACCUGAAAAUGAAAAGUACCUUUAACAGGUAGAGAGAGACGCUUAGUCACGGUGAGGAGGUGAGACACUUAUUUACCUCCUUCUCUCUCUCUCUCUUUUCUUUAUUUCCUCUCUAUAUGAGAGAGUUCAUUUCUUCAGGUCUGUGUUUUCUGAGGAUGUGUGAUUAUUAUAUCAUUACUA